rnacentral:rRNA from 1 species
AUGGGGAACAUUCUGAAUCUCAUGCCUGGAAAUGGAAUAACUACACUGGAACACCACGAUCGGAAGCGAUGCCGCCAAGGUAGAAUAGCAGAUGAAGCAUUCGAACCGUGCUGCAUUAUGGUUCUCAGGGCUAUAUCAUACCAGGCUGGAUGUAAGGCAGUCCAUCAAAAGAGGAUUGCAGACGGCCGAUUCGAACUAUUGAGCAUUCUGAUUUGCAGAGCAAUGUCACUGCACACUCGUCCCAGACCGGUCUGUGACAAGGGGGCGCAAAAUGAUCAACAUAGACUGCGCAGCGUUCUGGCUUGUGGAGUUAUAUCUGACUACAUCAUCUGUCACGAGUUAUUAAACUCUGAAAAGGGGAUAUCAAGUGAUCCGUUUGAGAGCCUUCCAGAGGACGUGCUAUGCACAAUUUUAUCCAAGUUGCCUCUGAAUGAUGCUGUAAGGACCAGUGCCGUGUCAAGGAAGUGGAGAUUCUUGUGGACAGUUUGUCCAAACCUGAGUUUUGAAGGAAUUACAAUGUGUGGCAAGAGUACUUGUGGGAAAGAACAAGAUGUUCAGAAGUUCAUCGAUAAUGUUAAUGCAGUCUUGGCACAGUGCCAUGGCCGGGUUGUUGACGAGCUUGCCAUUUUGGUGCAGGGCAUGGCAUCCAUCAAAUUUGAUUUUGACACCAUGCUGGUUGACCAUCUCAAUAACUGGGUUCGCUUUGUGCUAUCCUCAUCACAGAUAGAGUUCUUAACUUUUGAUUUGGCACCAGAACGUUUUGGAGGUCGUUAUGAUCGGUACUUGUUUCCGUUCCAACUUUUGGACAGUGGAAGUAUAUCCCGUCUACAGAAAAUCCAUCUUAGCUUUGGAUAUCUCCGGCCACCAACCGGGUUCAGUGGUUUCCCUAACCUACGGAAGCUUGAUCUGAACUUAGUGAAUGUCAGUGGAAAAGAUCUUCAAGACAUGUUGUCAAAUUGCUCUAACCUAGAGUGGUUAAGUAUUGUUAGAUGUCAUCUCUACGAUGAACUAAAGGUUAAUGGUCCACUGCCUCACCUGCUACACUUGCAUUUUUCAUUCUGCGAGAUAACGAAGAUUGCAUUGCAUGCCGUGAAACUCACAAAUUUUGUAUACAAGGGGAAGUCAGUAUGUAUUGACCUCGGCAAAUCUUCAAGGCUCGAAAGUGCAGAUGUUAGUUUUUAUGGAGUGACUCUUGAGGACGCUACCACCCAACUUGCUAAUGUGUUUACACAUGCUCAAAAUCUGAUUUUUGAUACUUGUUGCGAACCACCACAGAUGCCCUGCCUGAUGCAUAACCCAUGCAAGUUUUCCCAGCUGAGGCAUUUAAAACUGAUGCUGCUAUUUGAAAACGAUGUUGACACUCCGCAUUUGGCCUCCUUUCUGACAUCCGCUCCUUUCCUCGAAACACUAGAGAUGGAUUUUAUUGUUUCUCCUUCCCUAUACACGGGACACGUGCCUAUGAAGGGACUUCUGGAGGGUCCAUAUAAAUAUCUGAAGAAUGUGUGCAUGACAGCAUUCCGAGGAUCCAGAGGCCAGCUUGAAUUUCUUUUGCACAUCGUGGGAAAUGCCCCUGCUUUGGUAUUUUUACUAUUGACCAUUCGUAUAAACAGGUGA